CUUUUCCCUUCACUUGUCACAGUCGACGUUUGCAUAUGGGGAAGGAGAGUAGAAGUGUAGUUGUUGGAAUUUGAUGGGGAUUAGACAAUGGAAGAAGGAGAAAGCAAAGAGAAGGAGUAGAGAUGAGGAUGGAAAGUACGUAGAAGAAGGACGAAGCUACUGAAUGAUCAGAACACUAUUCAUACAGUGUUUUGGUUUUCCUCUCCUCCUUUCAAUCCCUUAGGUUGUACGAGAACGUGUUUUCUGAUCCAAUUGAUGAUGGAGGCUUUCAUAAUGAUGUAGAAGAUGGAGCAGGAAGCAUGGCUCCAAUGACGCAAGAUACAGUGAAUUUUUGUACCUUAAGCUCCUCUUCCCCGAUUUCAUCAUCCAUUGCGGAUUCGUGGCUUCAAUUGUGUACCAACAGAUGAGUUUCCUUUAUCCAAUUCCUCACUCAAUUGAUCGUACAAAUAGUGAACCUACUAAUAUUCAAUUGACGACCUGCUGGUCAUAGAGUACUGGGCUUCUUUCAUUUCCACUCCUAUAAAUACUCCUUUGAUUUUGGGCAUUUUCCACAUUGCAUACGCUUAAGUUCCUCUGUUAGUUGCUUUAGAUCAUUUCCGCUCCUGCAUCUGAAUUUUUGUGAGUUUUACUGAUGUCUUUUAUGGCUGGAUAUGCUUUAGAUCAUAUGCGUUCCACACUGCAUAUGGUUUUUUCCCACGCUACAUAUGCUUUCUCUAAUGUCAAACUCUGCUUCAACUUAUGUUUUAUUAUUUUUGGAUUUUAAAUUAUGUGCAUGCUUUUUGUUUUUUAUGAUCUAAUGACUAAUUUGGACCUGAUUCAGCUCGAUUUUAAAUUUAUUAUGUUCUCUGAUCAGUGAGUUUUAUUAAUCCUCACAUAAACUAUAUUAGCCAAAAAAAAAUUUGAUGCCAUCACAGUUGUACAAUCAUGUCAAGUUCAGUGUAAUAUAUUUUGGAUGUUUGAUAGUUUUGUUGUUGGCUUGAGGUAGUAAUUGCUGGUUGCUUGAUGUUGGUAUUUUACAUGUGGUGUUUUUUAGUUUAGGCAUAGAUCUGGUGUGCAUACCAGUGGUGGAUAUGGAGGAUUCACUAUGUUGGUAAGUCGUUGAUCAGUGACAGUGUUACUGGGGUAGUGGUGUCGCACUUAACAGCUUUGUUUUUUUGCAUCUUGUAGUUUUUUGGCAUGGGGUUGGAAAUAAGUAACUCUGCUGCUAUUCUGUUGGAGGCAGUUUUGAGUCGUGAUAAGAGUGUUUUAUGCAGCUGGUUUGAUGUAGUGUUUGGAGGAUGCUUAGCUGCUUGGGGGGUUUAGCAACCUGAUUUUGGGGUCAAAUGGCUUGUUUAUUUCGCAUAUUGUGGCUGUAAUUCUUUCUUUAUUAAUUUGAUUUUUAGAGUGAGGUAAGAUUUCUUAUUGGGCAGACAUUGUCACAUUUAGCCCAAAUUGUGGAAGUUGCAAAGAAAAACUCUCUUACAGUAAUAAUACUUUCACACCCUUCUAUAAGAGGAUUAUUAACUCAUUGUGGUUGGAACUAAUUUGUGUUGGUGUCCCUGUAACAUGGCUGCUAUUUGAAACUCUUAUGCAUGCUCUCAUUUAGUAUGCUACCUAUAAGUGAGUCAUUUAGUUUUUUUUCAAUUUAUACAGUCAAGCUUAUCAGUGGAUGCUUUGAUAUUGUCUUUCUAUUUGAUCUUGAUAUUCUUAAUACCUUAUAUGGAUUAUCCUAUUCCAAAAAUUUAUGUUAAAUUGCCAUAUGUGUUUUUACUAGAAUACUUACUUGAUUCAAACAAUGCUUUUUCUAGAUUUUUUGGGAUAGGUUAGACAGUUUUUACAGCUCAGGGGAUUUUUCUAGGGUUGUUAUUGAUGCUAAGUGGGGUUAUUAUUAAGGUCAUAUAAUUUGUUUGAAGGGUUUGGGUAAUAAAAGCUCAUGUUUUCUAUUCCAUGUUUCAAGCUAAAAAGGUGUGAUAUUAUCUAUAGGUUCUGGUUCCAUCAGCACCUAAAUCUUUCAAACGUCCCUGAAGUUUUGUCACUCUAUGAUAUCGAUUGAGGUGCAAGCUGGCGUUUCAUGUUAUUUUUUUUAUAAGCAAUAAAUACUUAUUAACACUAAUAAGUAUUUAUUGACGUGAUAUCUGCUACCUUUUUCUGGUAUGCCAAUUGCACAUGUUUAAUUAUUACUAAUAUUGGGCCAAAUAGGUGAGAUGUAUAAGGAUAGAUGCUAGCAUUGUUGCCAGGUAAAAGCGUGAUGAUAUUGCUGUUUGUUCAGCAGGCUUGAGGACCAUGGUGCAACCAGCAACCAAGGGAGGGCUGACCUUAGAAAAGAACAUGAUGGUUGGGAAAUUCCAAGGGAUAAUGUGCCCAACUACACCAAUUAGUUCCUUCAGCUGCUAAUUCUUCUAUGUUUACUGUUCAGUUAGCUCUUUCCAUUUUUAUAAUAAAGCUACUAACUCCAUUCUUCUCUUCCUCUGAUUUAAAAAUUAGAUACCCAAUCCCUCACCAACUCUAAUACAAUAUUGUGAUCAUAUCUAUUAGUCUACAUAUGAAGCUUUUCAACUAAAAAAGAUUCUACAACCCAUUUAUUCUCCAAAAAAUGUUUAUUAGAGAGAUUCAGACCAAUUUGACAUGCAAGAGAACUCACACGUGCACACGAAACAGACUGAAUUUUUCCCCUCUUGCCCAUGAUUACUUUUUCUACAAUUCUCUUGCCAGUGUUUUAGAAAUGGAAAAGUCUAAACCACAUGCUGGACUAUUACUCUUCUCACUAACUUGGUGUGCAACUUCUGCCGUUGUAUACAUGAUAUGUGUAUUUUUUAUGCAAAUGAGGCCAGUGUUUCAUCAAGUGUUGACUCUUUAGCACAUAUGGAGGAGUUCUACAGCAUGCAAGCUGCAUAUGAAGAGUGGUUUAAACAAAGCUAAACAGUCUUAUGAAAUGCCCCCUUUUCUGCUCUCUUCAAUGUUAGAAGUUUUAUAAUUAAUGGCCUUUUAUUGGUCUUAUCAUGGGAAACCAAAAUGUCUUCUAUUGGAAAUUUUUGCAUUGUCAUUUGUCACAUCUUAGAAGCACAUAUACAAUAAGCAUGUUUACUUUGAUUGAUCUUUUUGCUUAGUCCUCCAAGUCUGUUACCAAAUUCAGAGCAGAAGGGAUAGGGUCCGUGUACGGGAGGUUGUAUUCUGGGACAACACAAAAUUCUGCCAUCCCAGCUUAUUGAUACUGCCAAGGAUGCAUUAUUGGAGCUGUUUUAUACGCGAUCUAUGCCACAACCUACCACCAGGGAAAAUGUUGCCAUUUGCUUCUUAUGUGGUAGCUUCCACAUGUACAGAUCUUGGUACUAAGGCCGGUCUUCCAUACUGCUCUAAUCCAUACUUGGCAUCCUUUACCAAGUAGAGCUCCAAUCCUGUCAUCAAAAUCUUCAGCAAUUAGUAUAAGAGGAAGAUUGUCAACAUAUAGAGAAAAAUAUGAAGGAAUCAUUUGUAAUAGAGUGAUGAGAGGAAGAUUGUUAGUAGCAAUUAGUAUGAGAGGAAGAUUGUUAACAGGCACUGUAUACUAAUUGCUGACAACAUGUUGACAAUCAUUUUGAAAUCUUCAGCAUUUAGUAUGAGAGGAAGAUUGUUAACAGAAA